rnacentral:tRNA from 1 species
AGCAGAUGUAGAGAAACGGUAAUCUCGCUAGUUUCAUACGCUAGAAAAAACAGGUUCAACUCCUGUCUCUGCUUCCA